rnacentral:lncRNA from 9 species
CGGGUGCGCCCGGGAACCGGGAGGGCAGGCGUCGGCCCCGCUCCGCCGGGCUCCCGGGGGGCUCGGCGCCGCGGCGCGGGUGCCCCCGCCCCCACCCCCGCGCACGCCCGGCGCGCCUGGAUGGACUCCCGGGGGCUCGCGCUGCGGAGAUCCACUUGUCAGUUCAAGGGCAGGACAGAAACUCUGCAAGCGGAGUCUUGCGAACAGGAAAUUUCUCAUUGACAAGGACCAGCAGGUCUCAGCUGCUUGGUUCACCAUGGGAACCUAAGAAUGCAUCCCCUGAAUGCAGAGUUGCCUUCCUCCCAGGCUGCUUCCAAGGAUACACAAAACCCAGCAAAGAUAAAUAGAAGACGUGGAACGUGAAUUAUAAUGUCAGGCCCGCUCACAACCUCUGCGCCCCGCUCCACAUAAUAGGCCCGAAUUCAUAAC